rnacentral:rRNA from 1 species
AUCUGCCCUAUGGUGGAGGAUAACCCCGGGAAACUGGGGAUAAUACUCCAUAAGUCAGGAGUACUGGAAUGUCUCCUAACUGAAAGUUGCGGCGCCAUAGGAUGAAUCUGCGGCCGAUUAGGUAGUUGUUGGGGUAACGGCCCAACAAGCCCGUAAUCGGUACGGGUUGUGGGAGCAAGAGCCCGGAGAUGGAAUCUGAGACACGAUUCCAGGCCCUACGGGGCGCAGCUAGGCGCGUAAAACUUUACAAUGCAGGAAACUGUGAUAAGGGAACCCCGAGUGCCCGUAAACGCGGGCUGUCCCGGUGUUUAAAACACAUCGGAAGAAAGGGCCGGGCAAGACCGGUGCCAGCCGCCGCGGUAAUACCGGCGGCUCGAGUGGUGACCACUUUUAUUGGGGCUUAAAGCGUUCGUAGCUUGAUUUUUAAGUCUCUUGGGAAAUCUCACGGCUUAACUGUGAGGCGUCUAAGAGAUACUGGGAAUCUAGGGACCGGGAGAGGUAGAGGUACUUUCAGGGGUAGAAGUGAAAUUCUUGUAAUCCUUGGAGGGACCACCGAUGGC